rnacentral:lncRNA from 10 species
UCCAGCCUUCCGUCUUCAAGCAACCAUCCUCAAAUUUCAUUUGGACUUGUACUCCUCCCUCAAUCUCUAAACCACUUUAAGCCUAUCAGCCCAUUAUCCUUCCCUGGCCACAAGUAUUGGUUCCAGGGUGGAAUAGGCUUGAGACCCUGGAGUUAGUACAGUCUCUUGCCACCACCAGGACUGAAAAAGGAAGCAGCAUUGAAGAGGCAGAGCUGGGAGACGGAGAGAAACUGCUGGCAUGAUUUGAGCUCAGGAUUCUUUGAAUUGCAAGUCACUGAAACCCCAAUCCAAAUUUGCUUUAAGAAAAAAUCUACCGACUCAAACAAGACAGAGAUAUUUUAGAUUCAAGCAAGGAUUGAUCCAGAGCUUGAAUGACUUUUACCCAAGAGUUUCUGGUUUUGUUUUUGUCCUUACCAUUUCUCAACUUGACGUCCUCAGUGUUUUCAUGGUUUCAGACUGCCUGCCAGAAUCCAAGUAGUCCUCAAAAGUGCUAAUGGAUUGACUUGGCUCACACUGAAUUAACUACAAGUGUUAAAGGAAUGCGAUAUGUUGAUUGGUGUAGGCUUUGGUCACAUGUUCUACCCCUAGAAUUAGGAAUACAAUCAACUGUAUGAGGUCCACAUGAGCUUAGACCAGGGGAGAGGAGAUUCCACCACCAGAAAACCUGGAUGCUAAACACCACGACCAAUUCCUACCAUCCUUGAUGUGGCACUCAACUUAGUGAGACUGGAAAUAAUUUCAUACAAGGUGAAAGCUUCUAAUCUAUAAUUUUAAUUUAAUUUCAAUUUUUGCUCUGCUAUCUUUACUUAAAUAUUGACUAUUAAAACCAAACCAUUUUUUUUCAAUAGUCUGUAGAUAAAACAUCAUUACACUUCAUAUUUAUGCUAUAUUCUUUACUUUUGGUUGAACGACCAAUUCUACCAAUCUACCCUCAGUGAAGUGCCCACAAGACCCUAUUCUCUAGACACGUACAUCAGGAGGGGAAGUGAACAUUUAAUCAAUUAAUAUUUGCUGGCUAAUGCUUUGACAUUUACAAAGUCUGGGACACAUCUGCAUGAAACUCUAAAAUAAAAUUGGGCAAGUGAUUAAGAAUAAGAUAAUGAAAAGAAGCCAACUGGAUUUAAGAAAUAGAUGCAUUUCUUAGUCAUUAUGAGAUUUGAAAUGAUGCUCAUUGUCUCCUCAGUUUGUGAAAACUUUUUGUCAGAUCAUUCUACACACCAUUAACAAAACAGAGAGCUGCACUUCAUGGAUUCAAGAUCAAGUGACUGGUGAAAUAGUUCAGCAUUCAAUAGAUUGUCUAGGCAUUUUGUGCAACUAUGCCUUAACAAAUAGAAAAUUCAAAUCCCAACUUAUUUUGUGUUAUGACGAUUUUUAAAAUUAAAUUACUCUUUGCCAAGAGCAGUCAGCAAUUGUUAUGUAGCAGAGAAAUAUGCCAUAAAAGUUGAAAAAUUGGGCUCUGGUGUCAGACUGCCUGGGUUCAAGUCUUAAAUCUGUACUUAUUAUUAUCCCUUAAUUUCUUUAUCAGAAAAAAAAAUCAAAAUAGUACUAUUAUCUAAUAAGAGUUUUCAUAAGGAUUAAUGAGUCAAUCCAUAGGAAGCUCUUAGAAGUUUCUGGAAAGCAGAGUGCAAGGAGUGUUAGUUACAAUUACUAUUCUCCACUUUUUCUCUCUCUCUCUUCUUCUCUCUCCC